rnacentral:rRNA from 1 species
CGGUUGAUCCUGCCGGACCCGACUGCUAUUUGGGUGAGAAUAAGCCAUGCGAGUUGAAUGGGAUACNUAAAGUUCCCAUAGCAAACUGCUCAGUAACACAUGAUCAACUUACCCUAUAGAGAAAAAUAACCUCGGGAAACUGAGGAUAAUGUUUCAUAAUUGAAUUGGCUUGGAAAAGUUUUUCAAUGAAAGGGAUAAAAAAAAAUGGUUUUUAUCUGCUAUAGGAUAGGAUCGUGUUCGAUUAUGGUUGUUGGUGAGAUAAUGGCUCACCAAGCCGAUAAUCGAUAGGGGCCGUGAGAGCGGGAGCCCCGAGAUGGGUACUGAGACAACGACCCAGGCCUUACGAGGCGCAGCAGGCGCGGAACCUCCGCAAUACACGAAAGUGUGACGGGGUUACCCAAAGUGUUCAAUAGAACUGUGGUAGGUGAGUAAUGUCCCCUACUAGAAAGGAGAGGGCAAGGCUGGUGCCAGCCGCCGCGGUAAAACCAGCUCUUCAAGUGGUCGGGAUAAUUAUUGGGCUUAAAGUGUCCGUAGCCGGUUUAGUAAGUUCCUGGUAAAAUCGGGUAGCUUAACUAUCUGCAUGCUAGGAAUACUGCUAUACUAGAGGGCGGGAGAGGUCUGAGGUACUACAGGGGUAGGGGUGAAAUCUUAUAAUCCUUGUAGGACCACCAGUGGCGAAGGCGUCAGACUGGAACGCGCCUGACGGUGAGGGACGAAAGCCAGGGGAGCGAACCGGAUUAGAUACCCGGGUAGUCCUGGCCGUAAACGAUGCAUACUAGGUGAUGGUACGGCCAUGAGCCGUAUCAGUGCCGUAGGGAAACCGUUAAGUGUGCCGCCUGGGAAGUACGGUCGCAAGGCUAAAACUUAAAGGAAUUGGCGGGGGAGCAC